rnacentral:rRNA from 1 species
AAAUUGAAGAGUUUGAUCAUGGCUCAGAUUGAACGCUGGCGGCAGGCCUAACACAUGCAAGUCGAACGGUAACAGAAAGCAGCUUGCUGCUUUGCUGACGAGUGGCGGACGGGUGAGUAAUGUCUGGGAAACUGCCUGAUGGAGGGGGAUAACUACUGGAAACGGUGGCUAAUACCGCAUAACGUCGCAAGACCAAAGAGGGGGACCUUCGGGCCUCUUGCCAUCAGAUGUGCCCAGAUGGGAUUAGCUUGUUGGUGAGGUAACGG